rnacentral:rRNA from 1 species
UGGGGAAUAUUGGACAAUGGGCGCAAGCCUGAUCCAGCCAUGCCGCGUGAGUGAUGAAGGCCUUAGGGUUGUAAAGCUCUUUCGCCGGUGAAGAUAAUGACGGUAACCGGAGAAGAAGCCCCGGCUAACUUCGUGCCAGCAGCCGCGGUAAUACGAAGGGGGCUAGCGUUGCUCGGAAUUACUGGGCGUAAAGCGCACGUAGGCGGUUUCUUAAGUCGGGGGUGAAAUCCUGGAGCUCAACUCCAGAACUGCCUUCGAUACUGGGAAACUUGAGUUCGGGAGAGGUGAGUGGAACUGCGAGUGUAGAGGUGAAAUUCGUAGAUAUUCGCAAGAACACCAGUGGCGAAGGCGGCUCACUGGCCCGAUACUGACGCUGAGGUGCGAAAGCGUGGGGAGCAAACA